UACGUAGGGUGCAAGCGUUGUCCGGAAUUAUUGGGCGUAAAGAGCUCGUAGGUAGCCUGUCGCGUCGGCUGUGAAAACUCGGGGCUCAACUCCGAGCUUGCAGUCGAUACGGGCAGGCUAGAGUUCGGCAGGGGAGACUGGAAUUCCUGGUGUAGCGGUGAAAUGCGCAGAUAUCAGGAGGAACACCGGUGGCGAAGGCGGGUCUCUGGGCCGAUACUGACACUGAGGAGCGAAAGCAUGGGGAGCGAACAGG
rnacentral:rRNA from 1 species